rnacentral:rRNA from 1 species
AAAUUGAAGAGUUUGAUCAUGGCUCAGAUUGAACGCUGGCGGCAGGCCUAACACAUGCAAGUCGAACGGUAACAGAAAGCAGCUUGCUGCUUUGCUGACGAGUGGCGGACGGGUGAGUAAUGUCUGGGAAACUGCCCGAUGGAGGGAUAACUACUGGAAACGGUAGCUAAUACCGCAUAACGUCGCAAGACCAAAGAGGGGGACCUUCGGGCCUCUUGCCAUCGGAUGUGCCCAGAUGGGAUUAGCUAGUAGGUGGGGUAACGGCUCACCUAGGCGACGAUCCCUAGCUGGUCUGAGAGGAUGACCAGCCACACUGGAACUGAGACACGGUCCAGACUCCUACGGGAGGCAGCAGUGGGGAAUAUUGCACAAUGGGCGCAAGCCUGAUGCAGCCAUGCCGCGUGUAUGAAGAAGGCCUUCGGGUUGUAAAGUACUUUCAGCGGGGAGGAAGGGAGUAAAGUUAAUACCUUUGCUCAUUGACGUUACCCGCAGAAGAAGCACCGGCUAACUCCGUGCCAGCAGCCGCGGUAAUACGGAGGGUGCAAGCGUUAAUCGGAAUUACUGGGCGUAAAGCGCACGCAGGCGGUUUGUUAAGUCAGAUGUGAAAUCCCCGGGCUCAACCUGGGAACUGCAUCUGAUACUGGCAAGCUUGAGUCUCGUAGAGGGGGGUAGAAUUCGGGUGUAGCGGUGAAAUGCGUAGAGAUCUGGAGGAAUACCGGUGGCGAGGCGGCCCCCGGACGAAGACUGACGCUCAGGUGCGAAAGCGUGGGGAGCAAACAGGAUUAGAUACCACUGGUAGUCCACGCCGUAAACGAUGUCGACUUGGAGGUUGUGCCCUUGAGGCGUGGCUUCCGGAGCUAACGCGUUAAGUCGACCGCACAGGGGAGUACGGCCGCAAGGUUAAAACUCAAAUGAAUUGACGGGGGCCCGCACAAGCGGUGGAGCAUGUGGUUUAAUUCGAUGCAACGCGAAGAACCUUACGGUCUUGACAUCCACGGAAGUUUUCAGAGAUGAGAAUGUGCCUUCGGGAACCGUGAGACAGGUGCUGCAUGGCUGUCGUCAGCUCGUGUUGUGAAAUGUUGGGUUAAGUCCCGCAACGAGCGCAACCCUUAUCCUUUGUUGCCAGCGGUCCGGCCGGGAACUCAAAGGAGACUGCCAGUGAUAAACUGGAGGAAGGUGGGGAUGACGUCAAGUCAUCAUGGCCCCUUACGACCGGGGCUACACGUGCUACAAUGGCGCAUACAAAGAGAAGCGACCUCGCGAGAGCAAGCGGACCUCAUAAAAGUGCGUCGUAGUCCGGAUUGGAGUCUGCAACUCGACUCCAUGAAGUCGGAAUCGCUAGUAAUCGUGGAUCAGAAUGCCACGGUGAAUACGUUCCCGGGCCUUGUACACACCGCCCGUCACACCAUGGGAGUGGGUUGCAAAAGAAGUAGGUAGCUUAACCUUCGGGAGGGCGCUUACCACUUUGUGAUUCAUGACUGGGGUGAAGUCGUAACAAGGUAACCGUAGGGAACCUGCGGUUGGAUCACCUCCUUACCUUAAAGAAGC